GGGGGUGUAGCUCAAUUUGUAGAGCAUUGGCCUAGCAUGUGUGAGGCCCUGGGUUCAAUUCCCAGCACCACAA
rnacentral:tRNA from 1 species